GACGAACGCUGACGGUGUGCUUUAGACAUGCAAGUCGAACGAGAAAGCCCUUCGGGUUAGUAAAGUGGCGAACGGGUGAGUAACACGUGGGCAAUCUGCCCCUCGCAGGGGGGACAACCGGAGGAAACCCCGGCUAAUACCCCGUAAGUUCAAAGGGAGGCAUCUCCCCUUGAAGAAAGGUAGCUUCGGCCAUCCGGCGAGGGAUGAGCCCGCGGUGCAUUAGCUAGUUGGGUGGGGUAACGGCCCACCAAGGCGACGAUGCAUAGCUGGUCUGAGAGGAUGAUCAGCCACACUGGGACUGAGACACGGCCCAGACUCCUACGGGAGGCAGCAGUCGGGAAUCUUGCGCAAUGGGCGAAAGCCUGACGCAGCAACACCGUGUGUGUGAGGAAGGCCCUCGGG
rnacentral:rRNA from 1 species